rnacentral:rRNA from 1 species
GAUGAACGCUGGCGGCAGGCCUAACACAUGCAAGUCGAGCGAGAGGCGGACGGGUGAGUAAUGUCUGGGAAACUGCCUGAUGGAGGGGGAUAACUACUGGAAACGGUAGCUAAUACGGAAUACCAUCAGAUGUGCCAAGAUGGGAUUAGCUAGUAGGUGGGGUAACGGCUCACCUAGGCGACGCUCCCUAGCUGGUCUGAGAGGAUGACCAGCCACACUGGAACUGAGACACGGUCCAGACUCCUACGGGAGGCAGCAGUGGGGAAUAUUGCACAAUGGGCGCAAGCCUGAUGCAGCCAUGCCGCGUGUGUGAAGAAGGCCUUCGGGUUGUAAAGCACUUUCAGCGAGGAGGCGUUACUCACAGAAGAAGCACCGGCUAACUCCGUGCCAGCAGCCGCGGUAAUAC